rnacentral:lncRNA from 10 species
UGUGGUGGGAUGUGAACACCACUAGAGGAUGGUGCUGUCUUGGUUUCCACCGUCUCUAGAACCCAGACAAGAGCCUGGCUUGUAACAGGCACACGAUUCCAUAUUCCAUCAUGUCUAAGAUGAUCUCAAUUGUGAGAUGCAUCACCAUUACUGUGUGUGACAUUAAAAAAAAGUGCUGCUGAUUAAGCUCCAACCUGACAAUGAUGAAGAAACAUAACCCAACCUUAGAGAUGUUAAAUUUCAAAAAAAAAAAAUGUGUCUUAGAUACAACGAAAUAUGGUAAAGGUUUCCACACAGCGUUCUGUUCUUGAAAUAAUCACUCAAGCCCUGUAAAGACCAAUGUGGAAGUUGUAGCGCUGCCCCUGAGCACAGUUCUCAGAGUGUGAGUGGAGGGAGAGAGUAAGGUAGGUGUCAAAGAGGACCUGCAGAUGGGGCCAAUGCAUCUGCAGCAAGGAACAUUCUGGCCAUUUCUGAGACUCAUGAUGAUGUCACAGAGCUUUAGAACCCUAGUAUACCCUAGACCACCCAAACGUCCCACAACCUAUUGAAUCUCACAACAUAUGUUUGGAUAGCACUUCCCAGCCUACAACGCACUUUCUCAGGGAUUCUCAAACUUCCUCCCACCUCACAUCCUUUUAAGGCAAGUGAGUGUGGGAACUCUGGUUCAGGGAAGUUAAAUCACUUGCCUAAGGUCAUGCAGAUCAUUAAUGCCAUAGCCAAGACCUGAGCACGUUCUCCUAAAGCCAGGUCAGGCCUCUUGUCACAUACUCCAUUGACUCUAGUGCCUAACCCAUGCUCAUCACAGAGCUCACAUUGGAACCAUUGUUAAACAGACUCUAAUGGAAAUGACUUCGUUCAGCUGGUGAACAUUUUGGAAGAUUCCAGAAAAACAUGAACAAGUGUUUGAGUGCUCUUAAGGGGAUUGUCUAAUAUCUUGGCUCCUGACUCAUCCUUAGAAGUCUUCCAGCCACCUUGUACCCAUUUCAAGCCCAAGGGCUCUUUAACGUAAAUGAGUUACUGAGCAGCAGCAAACCUGAGUGUUUCUGUGCAAUGCAAAUUGCUUUGGCUUCCACACAGCUCCUGUCGCUUCAAGUGCGGAUGCAAGUAUUCAUUUUAACAACAUUAAUUUACAACGUGCUAUCCCACUUUACAUUGUGCUACAUGACUUAUUCACAGAGCCAGCCCUUCGGCGCCUGAUGUUGAUUCAUUCUAAUCACCGCACUUGCCUGUGAUUUUUAGGUUAAUGGGACCUGGACUGGAAAAGGAUUGUUUGUGUGGGAAUCAUUCAUGGCAAAGGCAGUGACACCUCCUUCAAAAACCUGUGUCUUUCUGGCAGAGUGUUGCUGGAGAUGGCCACUGGAGAGGCUGAGUCAAAUCAAUCUCCUCACCUGAGGACUUCCUAAGACCAGCGCACUGAAGGACCAGCAGCAACAACAACAAUAAUGCUAAUGCUCCCUUAUGGGACAAGACUGCAAUUCUCUGCCUGCUGAAGCUCAGCUAUGACCACGUGACUUGCCUUGGCCAAUGAAAGAGGAAGAGUAUGUAACACUGCUGAAUGGAAGCAAGUGGCCCCUGCCCCUGCUGCAGAGAUUCUAGACAUGUGUGCCAUGCUGGAGCAAGGAGACAGGGAGUCCUGGAGAAAGGAGACAUGGAACAGAGCUCCCAGCCCAGUCAAUAUGUAACAUGAGUGAGAAAUAAAUAACACUUUGUUGCUAGAAGUUUUUUUUAAACUGAAGUAUAACUCAGCUUCCCCUGACCCAUGCAGAAAGUCAUCUAUCAAUGUUAAGUAUCACUAAAUUUAUUUUACAGAAGAAGAAUCUAAAGCUCAGAGUAGUGGUCUCAAUAUCACUCAGCAAUUAUGUGAUGGAAGCAUACUGAAGGCCCACGUUUUAAAGUGGACACCAAGGGGAAUAUAGCAUAAAUAGAAAUUUUCUAACUGCAGGGAAUUCUUGCUAUACAACUGCAAAGAAUAGGCCCCACUACUUCCUAGCUGUGCCUCAAUUUCCUGAUCAGUUAAAUGGGACUAAUAAAAGAGCAGCUAGUGGCUGGGUGCGGUGGCUCACGCCUGUAAUCCCAGCACUUUGGGAGGCCGAGGCGGGCAGAUCAAGAGGUCAGGAGAUCGAGACCACAGUGAAACCCCGUCUCUACUAAAAAUACAAAAAAUUAGCUGUGCGCAGUGGCGGGUGCCUGUAGUCCCAGCUACUCGGGAGGCUGAGGUAGGAGAAUGUCGUUAACUCGGAAGGCGGAGCUUGCAGUGAGCCGAGAUCGCGCCACUGCACUCCAGUCUGGGCGACAGAGGGAGACUCUGUCUCAAAAAAAACGACAACAACAAAAAAAAAAAAAAAAAAAAAAAAGAAAGAGUAGCUAGUGCAAGAGAUGGAGAAGGGAUUAAAUGAAAAUACAUGUAAAUUGCUCAUAAGAUUAUCUAGAAUAAACCGAACAUUCAAAAAUGUUAGUUACUAUUAUUAUUAACAAUUGCUAUUAUAAUCCUAAUAUCACCUGUUUCUCAUCAGUCGGUGGAUACAAGCAAUUACAUUUACAUAAAUAUGUAAAGCAAUAAAGCCAAACCAGAG